GCCUUCGUGGUGUAAAGGUUAGCGCCCUCGGCCCGUAUUCGAGAGGUCUAGGUUCGAGUCCCGGCGAGGGCA
rfam:Stegodyphus mimosarum contig18931, whole genome shotgun sequence.